UUAGAUUAGUAGCUAAUACAUCACACAUAUUAUUGAGACCAACUAGCAACAUAGAAAGCACAAUAGUGUACCAACAAUGGCAGCCAAAAUAUUUUGCUUCCUUAUGCUCCUUGGUCUUUCUGCAAGUGCUGCUACCGCAACCAUUUUCCCACAAUGCUCACAAGCUCCUAUAGCUUCCUUUCUUCCCCCAUACCUCUCACCAGCGGUGUCUUCAGUAUGUGAAAACCCAAUUCUUCAACCCUACAGGAUCCAACAGGCAAUCGCAGCAGGCAUCUUACCUUUAUCACCCUUGUUCCUCCAACAACCGUCAGCCCUAUUACAGCAGUUACCUUUGGUGCAUUUGUUGGCACAAAACAUCAAGGCACAACAACUACAACAACUUGUGCUAGGAAACCUUGCUGCCUACUCUCAGCAACAGCAGUUUCUUCCAUUCAACCAACUGGCUGCAUUGAACUCUGCUGCUUAUUUGCAACAACAACUACCAUUCAGUCAGCUAGCUGCUGCCUACCCCCAGCAAUUUCUUCCAUUCAACCAACUGGCAGCAUUGAACUCUGCUGCUUAUUUACAACAGCAACAGCUACCACCAUUCAGCCAGCUAGCUGAUGUGAGCCCUGUUGCCUUCUUGACACAACAACAGUUGUUGCCGUUCUACCUGCACGCUGCGCCUAACGCUGGCACCCUCUUACAACUGCAACAAUUGCUGCCAUUCAACCAACUUGCUUUGACAAACCCAACAACGUUCUACCAACAACCCAUCAUUGGCGGUGCCCUCUUUUAGAUUGCUUAUGAGUUAUAGUUCAAUAAUGAAGUUUUUUGGAUGAUGUUUGUGGCUUCCCAGAAAUAAGAAAGUACAUUUCUAGAUUCUUAUGUGCUUCUAGCCUCCAAAUGUGGUUGAUAGUUAUUUUGCUCUAAGAUCGGGAGUAAUGAGGUAUAAAUCAUCGUUGUGGUGUGCUACUCGGUUAAUUAAGCAUUAACACACACAAACAUGACGAGGAUGGUAUGACCUCCAGGGCCAGUAACACGCCGGCACCAGCAAGAUAUCGUGUGAUGGUUAUUGGCGCGUGUUGUUUGUUCGACCCAUUGCUGCAACGCAGACCGCCGCUAACUACCAUCUCCAAGAGACUCCUUCAAUUAAGUCCUAAAAAUCAAAAUAGGACAUGGUUUAAAUUAUUUAAAACCCACCAAUUCGUUUUACUCCAACCGUGAGUCUGAGAGCACCUAGAGGGGGGGGGUCGAAUAGGUGAUCCUGUAAAACUUGAAAUUUAACUCACAAAACUUGAUUAGGAGUUAGCACAAAUAAUGCCAAGUGGCUAGAGAGGAGUCUCAACAAAACACAAUAACCACAAGAGAUCAAUCACAGAGAUGGCACAGUGGUUUAUCCCGUGGUUCGGCCAAGACCAACGCUUGCCUACUCCACGUUGUGGCGUCCCAACGGACGAGGGUUGCAAUCAACCCCUCUCAAGCGGUCCAAAGACCCACUUGAAUACCACGGUGUUUUGCUUGCUUUACUAUAUCCCGUUUGCGAGGAAUCUCCACACUUUGGAGCCUCUCGCCCUUACACUUAGAUGAUCACAAAGAAGCACAGAGUAAGGGAGGGAUAAGCAACUCACUCAAGACAAGAAAUCACAGCAACACCACGCACACAAGUCGCAACAAGAGCUCACAACACAACUCAAUGAGUUCACAACUCAACUAGAGCUCUAACUGCUAUCGCAAGGAAUCAAAAGCGCGGAAUCGAUGUCUUAGUGCUUAGGAAUGCUUAGAGAAUGCUUGGUGUAGUCCUCCAUGCGCCUAGGGGUCCCUUUUAUAGCCCCAAGGCAGCUAGGAGCCGUUGAGAGCAAUCCGGGAAGGCAAUUCUUGCCUUCUGUCGCCUGGCGCACCGGACAGUCCGGUGCACCACCGGACACUGUCCGGUGCGGAUUUCCUUCCUUAUUUGGCGAAGCCGACCGUUGGCAGCCUUGGAGCCGUUGGCGCACCGGACACUGUCCGGUGCACACCGGACAGUCUGGUGCCCCCUCCCGACCGUUGGCUCGGCCACGUGUCUCGCGCAGCCGACCGUUGGCCCGGCCGACCGUUGGCUCACCGGACAGUCCGGUGCACACCGGACAGUCCGAUGAAUUAUAGUCGUACGUCGUUAAUUUAUUCCCGAGAGUGACAAGUUCGCCUGUGCCAGCCUGGCACACCGGACACUGUCCGGUGCACCACCGGACAGUCUGGUGCACCCAGACAGAGCUGGCUUUGGCUGAACAAGGCUAUCUCUUUUCCAAUUCGAUUUCUCCUGUUUCCAGCACUUAGACACAAUAAAUUAGUCACUAAAACAAUGUACUAAGUCUAAGAAACAUACCUUUAUACUUGAUUUGUACUUUGUCCACCAUUUGACACUUAGGCACUUGUGUUGGACACUAGAUCACCAAAACACUUAGAAAUGGCCCAAGGGCACAUUUCCCUUUCAAUCUCCCCCUUUUUGGUGAUUAAUGCCAACACAACAUAAGGCAAGUAGAACAAGUACGAAAUCAAUUCAAAUAAGAACUCAAAUUUGUUUUGAAUCAAAUUUGGCAUAUAUGGAUCAUUCUUUGCCACCACUUGGUUUGUUUUUGCAAAUCAACCUCAAAUUCCUAUCUCUAAGUCAAAAACACUUGUUGAGACAUAACAAGAGUUGUUCCAAGAGAAAUUGAUCAGAGAUUUCAAAAACUCCCCCUUUUUCCCAUAAUUAAGCCUUCUCCCCACAAGAGACCAACUUUUGACAAUAAGAGGCAAACAAGAGUAUUUUGACAAACAAAAACUCUAACUCUAUUUUUUUAAAAUUCUCAAGUGGUAGCUGAUCUAUUUAUUGCUUUGGCCUUAUUUUCUCCCCCUUUGGCAUCAAGCACCAAAACGAGAUCAAUCUUGGCCCUCGAACCCCAUUGCCUCACCAAAAUCUUCAACUAAGAGUUAAAAAAAGGCAAUAAGAGUACAAAGAUGAACUUGGAAUAAGUUACUCGUUCAUCGGAGUGCAGUGGAAGUCUUGCAUAGUCCAAGUCCACCUUUUCCCUUUCAAUCCUCCUUUGAGACUAAAAUAAGCAAACUCACGCACAUGGUUAGUCUCAAAGGGUCAAGUUGUAGCACAUCUCCCCCUAAAUUUGUGCAUCACUUGCAAAUGAACUUGUAAGGUCCGGGGAGUGCUUGUACAACUUGAGCACCAUAAGUAAACAACAAAAUGCAUAAGGAACAUGAUCAAAGGCAUAAACACAUGUAUGCUAUAAAUCAAUCCAAGUUCCGCGAAUCUAAGACAUUUAGCUCACUACGCAACUUGCAAAAUGUCUGCUCAUCUAAAGGCUUGGUAAAGAUAUCGGCUAGCUGGUUCUCAGAGCUAACAUGAAACACUUCGAUAUCUCCCUUUUGCUGGUGGUCUCUCAAAAAGUGAUGCCAGAUGUCUAUGUGCUUUGUGCGGCUGUGUUCAACAGGAUUAUCCGCCAUGCGGAUAGCACUCUCAUUAUCACAUAGGAGUGGGACUUUGCUCAGAUUGUAGCCAAAGUCCCUGAGGGUUUGCCUCAUCCAAAGUAGUUGUGCGCAGCACUGUCCUGCAGCAACGUACUCGGCCUCAGCGGUGGAUAGGGCAACAGAGGUUUGUUUCUUAGAACUCCAUGACACCAGGGACCUUCCUAAGAAUUGGCACAUCCCCGAUGUACUCUUCCUAUCGACCUUACAUCCAGCAUAGUCGGAGUCUGAAUAUCCAAUCAAGUCAAAGGUAGACCCCUUUGGAUACCAAAUCCUGAAACAAGGUGUAGCGACUAAAUAUCUAAGAAUUCGCUUCACAGCCACUAAGUGACACUCCUUAGGAUCGGAUUGAAAUCUAGCACACAUGCAUACACUAAGCAUAAUAUUCGGUCUACUAGCACAUAAAUAAAGUAAAGACCCUAUCAUAGACCGGUAUGCCUUUUGAUCAACGAACUCACCUCCUUUGUUGAGGUCGGUGUGUCCGUCGGUUCCCAUUGGAGUCUUUGCGGGCUUGGCGUCCUUCAUCCCAAACCGCUUGAUCAAGUCUUGCUUGUACUUGGUUUGAGAGAUGAAGGUUCCAUCCUUGAGUUGCCUCACUUGGAAGCCAAGGAAGUAGAUUAACUCGCCCAUCAUCGACAUCUCGAAUUUCUGAGUCAUCACCCUGCUAAACUCUUCACAAGACUUUUGGUUAGUAGAACCAAAUAAUAUGUCAUCGACAUAAAUUUGGCACACAAAGAGAUCACCAUCACAAGUCUUAGUAAAAAGAGUUGGAUCGGCUUUCCCAACCUUGAAAGCAUUAGCAAUUAAAAAGUCUCUAAGGCAUUCAUACCAUGCUCUUGGGGCUUGCUUAAGUCCAUAGAGCGCCUUAGAGAGCUUACACACGUGGUCGGGGUACCGUUCAUCCUCGAAGCCAGGGGGUUGCUCCACGUACACCUCCUCCUUGAUUGGCCCGUUGAGGAAAGCACUCUUCACAUCCAUUUGGAACAACCUGAAAGAAUGGUGAGCGGCAUAUACUAGCAAAAUGCGAAUGGACUCUAGCCUAGCCACAGGAGCAAAAGUCUCCUCAAAGUCCAAACCUGCGACUUGGGCAUAACCUUUUGCCACAAGUCGUGCCUUGUUCCUUGUCACCACCCCGUGCUCGUCUUGUUUGUUGCGGAACACCCACUUGGUUCCCACAACAUUUUUCUUGGGACGAGGCACCAGUGUCCAAACUUCAUUUCUUUUGAAGUUGUUGAGCUCCUCCUACAUGGCCAACACCCAGUCCGGAUCUAGCAAGGCCUCUUCUACCCUGAAAGGCUCAAUAGAAGAGACAAAGGAGUAAUGCUCACAAAAAAUUAACUAAUCGAGAUCGAGUAGUUACUCCCUUGCUAAUAUCACCCAAAAUUUGGUCGACGGGAUGAUCCCUUUGAAUCAUCGCUCGAACUUGGGUUGGAGGUGCCGGUUGCGCUUCUUCCUCCAUUGCAAGAUCAUCUUGUGCUCCCCCUUGAUCACACGCCUCCUGCUCAUCAUCUUGAGUUGGGGGAUGCACCAUUGUUGAGGAAGAAGGUUGAUCUCGUUCAUCUUGUUCCUGUGGCCGCACAUCUCCAAUCGCCAUGGUGCGUAUUGCGGCCGUUGGAACUUCUUCUUCAUCUACAUCAUCAAAAUCAACAACUUGCUCUCUUGGAGAGCCAUUAGUCUCAUCAAAUACAACGUCGCUAGAGACUUCAACCAAACCCGAUGAUUUGUUGAAGACUCUAUACGCCUUUGUAUUUGAGUCAUAACCUAACAAAAAUCCUUCUACAGCUUUGGGAGCAAAUUUGGAAUUCCUACCCUUCUUCACUAGAAUGUAGCAUUUACUCCCAAAAACUCGAAAAUACGAAACAUUGGGUUUGUUACCGGUUAGUAGCUCAUAUGACGUCUUCUUGAGGAGGCGAUGAAGGUAGACCCUGUUGAUGGCGUGGCAAGCCGUGUUCACAGCUUUCGACCAAAAGCGCUCGGGGGUCUUAAACUCUCCAAGCAUCGUCCUCACCAUGUCUAUAAGCGUCUUGUUCUUCCUCUCUACCACACCAUUUUGCUGUGGUGUGUAGGGAGCGGAGAACCCAUGCUUGAUCCCUUCCUCCUCAAGGUACUCCUCCACUUGAAGGUUCUUGAACUCGGACCCAUUGUCGCUCCUUAUCUUUUUCACCUUGAGCUUAAACUCGUUUUGAGCUCUCCUUAGGAAGCGCUUGAGGGUCCCUUGGGUUUCAGAUUUAUCCUGCAAAAAGAAUACCCAAGUGAAGCGGGAAAAGUCAUCAACUAUAACAAGACCAUACUUACUUCCUCCUAUACUUAGAUAAGCGACGGGUCCAAAGAGGUCCAUGUGAAGCAUCUCCAAAGGUCUUGAUGUGGUCAUCACAUUUUUGGUGUGAUGAGAGCUUCCCACCUGUUUGCCUGCUUGACAAGCUGCACAAGGUCUAUCUUUUUCGAAUUGUACAUUAGUUAAACCUAUCACGUGUUCUCCCUUUAGAAGCUUGUGAAGGUUCUUCAUCCCCACAUGUGCUAAGCGGCGAUGCCACAGCCAGCCCAUGCUAGUCUUAGCAAUUAAGCAUGCAUCUAGACCGGCCUCCUCUUUUGCAAAAUCAACUAAGUAAAGUUUGUCGUCUAAUACACCCUUAAAAGCUAGUGAACCAUCACUUCUUCUAAAGACAGACACAUCUACAUUUGUGAAUAGACAAUUAUAUCCCAUAUUGCAUAAUUGACUAACAGAUAACAAAUUAUAUCCAAGAGACUCAACUAAAAACACAUUAGAUAUAGAGUGCUCGGAUGAAAUAGCAAUUUUACCUAACCCUUUUACCUUGCCUUGAUUCCCAUCACCGAAUAUUAUUGAAUCUUGGGAAUCCUUGUUUUUGACGUAGGAGGUGAACAUCUUUUUCUCCCCCGUCAUAUGGUUUGUGCAUCCGUUGUCGAUAAUCCAGCUUGAACCCCCGGAUGCAUAAACCUGCAUGGCAAAUUUAGGCUUGGGUCUUAGGUACCCAACUCAUGUUGGGUCCUACAAGGUUAGCACAAAUAUCCUUAGGGACCCAAAUGCAAGUUUUGUCUCCCUUGCAUUUUGCCCCUAAUUUUCUAGCAACUAUCUUCCUAUCCUUUCUACAAAUAGCAAAGGAAGCAUUUAAAGCAUGAUAUAUUGUAGAGGGUUCAUUAACUUUCCUAGGAACAUUAACAACAUUUCUCCUAGACAUAUGAACAAAAUAUCUCCUAGACAUAUCUCUACCAUGCAUAUAGGAAGAACUAGAAGCAAACAUGGCAUGAGAGUUAAAAGCAUCAUAAGCAUUACAACUCCUAUAAGACUGUCUUCUAUCAUGGUACAUAAAAGCAUGGUUCGUUUUAGCACUAUUUGCCAUAGGGGCCUUCCCUUUCUCCAUGAUGGAGAUGGGUGCCUUAUGGCUCGUUAAGUCCUUGGCUUCCCUCUUGAAGCCAAGUCCAUCCUUAAUUGAGGGGUGUCUACCAAUCAUGUAGGCAUCCCUUGCAAAUUUUAGUUUAUCAAAAUCACUCUUGCUAGUCUUAAGUUGGGCAUUAAGACUAGCCAAUUCAUCAUUCAGUUUGGAAAUUGAAACUAGGUGUUCACUACAAGCAUCAAUGUCAAAAUCUUUACACCUAUUGCAAAUCAUAACAUGUUCUACACAAGAGUUAGAUUUACUAGCUAUUUCUAACUUAGCAUUCAAACCAUCAUUUAUGCUCCUUAAGCUAGAAAUUGUCUCAUGGCAAGAAGAUAGUUCACAAGAAAGCAUUUCAUUUCUUUUAACUUCUAAAGCAUGAGAUUUUUGUGCCUCUACAAAUUUGUCAUGCUCUUCAUAUAAAAGGUCCUCUUGUUUUUCUAAAAGUCUAUCCUUUUCAUUCAAGGCAUCAAUCAAUUCAUUAAUCUUAUCUACUUUAGUUCUAUCCAAUCCCUUGAACAAACUAGAGUAAUCUAUUUCUUCAUCACUAGACUCAUCAUCACUAGAAGAAUCAUAAGUGGCAUUGUUUCGAUUACAUACCUUCUUCUCCUUCGCCAUGAGGCAUGUAUGACGCUCGUUGGGGAAGAGGGAUGACUUGUUGAAGGCGGUGGCGGCGAGUCCUUCAUUGUCGGAGUCGAAUGACGAACAAUCCGAGUCCCACUCCUUGCCAAGGUGUGCCUCGCCCUUAGCCUUUUUAUAUGCCUUCUUCUUCUCCCUCUUAUUCCCCUGUUCCUGGUCAGUAUCAUUAUUGGGGCAGUUAGCGAUAAAAUGACCAAUCUUACCACACUUGAAGCAUGAGCGCUUCCCCUUUGUCUUGGUCUUGCUUGGCUGCCCCUUGUGACCCUUUAGCGCUGUCUUGAAGCGCUUGAUGAUGAGAGCCAUCUCUUCAUCAUUUAGCCCUGCCGCCUCAACUUGUGCCACCUUGAUAGGUAGCGCCUCUUUGCUUCUUGUUGCCUUGAGAGCAAAGGGUUGAUGCUCAUUGAUUGGACCAUUCAAUGCGUCGUCCACGUAUCUCGCCUCCUUGAUCAUCAUUCGCCCGCUCACGAAUUUCCCAAGAACUUCCUCGGGCGACAUCUUGGUGUACCUAGGAUUUUCACGAAUAUUGUUCACCAGAUGUGGAUCAAGUACAGUAAAGGACCUUAGCAUUAGGCGAACGACGUCGUGGUCCGUCCAUCGCGUGCUUCCGUAGCUCCUUAUUUUGUUGAUGAGGGUCUUGAGCCGGUUGUAUGUUUGGGUUGGCUCCUCGCCCCUUAUCAUUGCAAAUCUCCCGAGCUCGCCCUCUACCAACUCCAUCUUGGUGAGCAAGGUGACGUCAUUCCCCUCAUGAGAGAUCUUGAGGGUGUCCCAGAUCUGCUUGGCAUUGUCCAAGCCGCUCACCUUAUGGUACUCGUCCCUGCACAAAGAGGCUAACAACACAGUAGUAGCUUGUGCAUUCUUAUGAAUCUGUUCAUUAAUGAAUAUAGGACUAUCCGAGCUAUCAAAUUUCAUUCCAUUCUCAACAAUCUCCCAUAUACUUGGAUGGAGAGAGAACAGAUGACUACGCAUUUUGUGACUCCAAAAUCCGUAGUCCUCCACAUCAAAGUGUGGAGGUUUGCCAAGAGGGAUGGAAAGCAAAUGUGCAUUUGAGCUAUGCGGAAUACGGGAGUAAUCGAAAGAAAAGUUCGAAUUAACCGUCUUUCGUUUGUCGUAGUCGUUGUCGUCGUUGUCCUUUUGGGAAGAAGUGGACUCAUCGCUGUCGUCGUAGUAGACAAUCUCCUUGAUGCGUCUUGUCUUCUUCUUCUUCCCAUCUUUGCAUUUGUGGCCCGAGCCCGAGUCGGUAGGCUUGUCAUCCUUGGGCUCAUUGACGAAGGACUCCUUCUCCUUAUCAUUGAUCACAAUCCCCUUGCCCUUAGGAUCCAUCUCUUCGGGCGGUUAGUCCUUUUCUUGAAGAGAACGGCUCCGAUACCAAUUGAGAGCACCUAGAGGGGGGUGAAUAGGUGAUCCUAUAAAACUUGAAAUUUAACUCACAAAACUUGAUUAGGAGUUAGCACAAAUAAUGCCAAGUGGCUAGAGAGGAGUCUCAACAAAACAUAAUAACCACAAGAGAUCAAUCACAGAGAUGGCACAGUGGUUUAUCCCGUGGUUCGGCCAAGACCAACGCUUGCCUACUCCACAUUGUGGCGUCCCAACGGACGAGGGUUGCAAUCAACCCCUCUCAAGCGGUCCAAAGACCCACUUGAAUACCACGGUGUUUUGCUUGCUUUACUAUAUCCCGUUUGCGAGGAAUCUCCACACUUUGGAGCCUCUCGCCCUUACACUUAGAUGAUCACAAAGAAGCACGAAGUAAGGGAAGGAUAAGCAACACACUCAAGACAAGAAAUCACAGCAACACCACGCACACAAGUCGCAACAAGAGCUCACAACACAACUCAAUGAGUUCACAACUCAACUAGAGCUCUAACUGCUAUCGCAAGGAAUCAAAAGCGCGGAAUCGAUGUCUUAGUGCUUAGGAAUGCUUAGAGAAUGCUUGGUGUAGUCCUCCAUGUGCCUAGGGGUCCCUUUUAUAGCCCCAAGGCAGCUAGGAGCCAUUGAGAGCAAUCCGGGAAGGCAAUUCUUGCCUUCUGUCGCCUGGCGCACCGGACAGUCCGGUGCACCACCGGACACUGUCCGGUGCGGAUUUCCUUCCUUAUUUGGCGAAGCCGACCGUUGGCAGCCUUGGAGCCGUUGGCGCACCGGACACUGUCCGGUGCACACCGGACAGUCCGGUGCCCCCUCCCGACCGUUGGCUCAGCCACGUGUCUCGCGCAGAUCGCGCAGCCGACCGUUGGCCCGGUUGACCGUUGGCUCACCGAACAGUCCGAUGAAUUAUAGUCGUACGCCGUUAAUUUAUUCCCAAGAGCGGCAAGUUCGCCUGUGCCAGCCUGGCACACCGGACACAGUCGGGUGCACCCAGACAGAGCUGACUUUGGCUGAACAAGGCCAUCUCUUUUCCAAUUCGAUUUCUCCUGUUUCCAGCACUAAGACACAAUACAUUAGUCACUAAAACAAUGUACUAAGUCUGAGAAACAUACCUUUAUACUUGAUUUGUACUUUGUCCACCAUUUGACACUUAGGCACUUGUGUUGGACACUAGAUCACCAAAACACUUAGAAAUGGCCCAACAACACAUUUCCCUUUCAGAGUCAUAUAAUCAUGUUACUUAGUUAAUUCUUCGCUUCACCGCAACAAUGUCGUCGUCGCUCUAUCAUCGUCCAUGUUCGGUCAGGUGAGGUGAGGUGAGGUGUAGUCUCUAAUAUACUUAAAGCACCAGUUUCAACGGUCGUCCUACGCCAUCUUUUUACAAAAAGUCCCUACAUUUCUUUUAAAUCAAUUCAGCGUAAAAUGUUAAAAAGCGGCGCCAGAGACAAUCUUUCACAUGAUCAUGUUGUCCUGCAGAUGGAGUAGUAGGCCUUCACGUGAUCAUGUUGUCCGAUAGAUAGGGUAGCGGGCCAGCGGUUGUUGGUUACUCUCCACCAACAAGAGAGAUAGGAAUCUAUUAGAAGCCAGAGCUCCAGCUUGCUAGUUCGAUUUGAUGGCAGCAACUAACAAGACAAUGACGCUCAGCAUGAUAUGAAGAUUGCCAUCGAUAGGAAGGAUCAUCACCUGCUGUUCGCGGAGGCGAGAAAGGAUGUGGUCGACUUCUUCUCCCUACUCGUCCUACUCGUCGGCGCGACCGUCAAACUGCUGGGGAAUAAGGGCAUGGCCGACAACACCUGACCAUUGAUCUCACAUGCCAUUUUAGCUCUCUCAUUCUCUAGUCUCACCCUGACUAUUUAGGUCUCCUGACUCGCUAAUAUAAACACCAUCCUAUCAUUUGAUCUCGAAUACUUCUUUGUCACAACUCAACUGUCAGAUGAGUACUCCAUUACAACACUUACGUACAAGAGUUCUAUGAGAGCAGGCCUCCGAAAUGAAUGUCGACUAAGUGUUUAUCUACUCAGAUGAAGGACGACAAUCGUGUUCUUCGAAAAUAUCAGCGACAUAACUCCUUACUUCCUCCGCUUCUUUCUAGUGUUUUUUGUUGUGAUUGAGUCGACACAACAACAACAUUGCACUAUUACAACCAGUACGACUAUAUCAACUAACAAUGUCUUCCUUAUAUGUUACUAUUUAUUUUGCUCAUAUUCAUUAUGUUUAAAUCACAUGUGCACCUUUCUAUUGACAUCAAAAAAAUAGUAUCAACUUUCUAGAUUAAAAUGCAACUAAAAGUACCUAAAUUUCUAUCGGUGGGGAUUGAGUGAUUCUUUAAACCGAUUAUUACAUAAGUUAACCACACUAAAAUUAACAUUGGUGAAUUGUGCCAUGAUUUUUUUCUAGUGCAAAAUAGCCAAACCAAGCAACACAUAUGUGGCUAUCGUUACACAUGUGUAAAGGUAUUGCAUCACACCAUUGUCACCCAUGUAUUUGGACAAUACCGAGAGGAAAACCCACUUAUUUAUUGUAUUUUAUCAAGUUUGUCUUGCUUACGUAUAAAUUAUAACCCAACAAAGUAGUCACUAAAUGUCAAAACCAACUAGAUACCAUGUCAUCUCUACCUUAUCUUACUAAUGUUCUUUUUGCAAAAUCCAAAAUUAAUCUUGCACAAGCACAAGGACUGAUAUGUGUAUAAAUAUCUCUUAGAUUAGUAGUUAAUACAUCGCACAUAUUAUUGAGACCAACUAGCAACAUAGAAAGCACAAUAGUGUACCAACAAUGGCAGCCAAAAUAUUUUGCUUCCUUAUGCUCCUUGGUCUUUCUGCAAGUGUUGCUACCGCAACCAUUUUCCCACAAUGCUCACAAGCUCCUAUAGCUUCCCUUCUUCCCCCAUACCUCUCACCAGCGGUGUCUUCAAUGUGUGAAAACCCAAUUGUUCAACCCUACAGGAUCCAACAGGCAAUCGCAACAGGCAUCUUACCAUUAUCACCCUUGUUCCUCCAACAACCGUCAGCCCUAUUACAGCAGUUACCUUUGGUCCAUUUGGUGGCACAAAACAUCAGGGCACAACAACUACAACAACUUGUGCUAGCAAACCUUGCUGCAUACUCUCAGCAACAUCAGUUUCUUCCAUUCAACCAACUGGCUGCAUUGAACUCUGCUGCUUAUUUGCAACAACAAUUACCAUUCAGCCAGCUAGUUGCUGCCUACCCCCAGCAAUUUCUUCCAUUCAACCAACUAGCAGCAUUGAACUCUGCUGCUUAUUUACAGCAGCAACAACUACUACCAUUCAGCCAGCUAGCUGAUGUGAGCCCUGCUGCCUUCUUGACACAACAACAGUUGUUGCCGUUCUACCUGCACGCUAUGCCUAACGCUGGCACCCUCUUACAACUGCAACAAUUGCUGCCAUUCAACCAACUUGCUUUGACAAACUCAACAGUGUUCUACCAACAACCCAUCAUUGGUGGUGCCCUCUUUUAGAUUGCUUAUGAGUUAUAGUUCAAUAAUGAAGUUUUUUGGAUGAUGUUUGUGGCGUCCCAGAAAUAAGAAAGUACAUUUCUAGAUUCUUAUGUGCUUCUAGUCUCCAAAUGUGGUCGAUAGUUAUUUUGCUCUAAGAUCGGGAGUAAUGAGGUAUAAAUCAUCGUUGUGGUGUGCUACUCGGUUAAUUAAGCAUUAACACACACAAACAUGACGAGGAUGGUAUAAUCUCCAAAAAUAUGUACUUUGUUAGGUGGGACCCUAUAGCCAUGCAGAAUGUGCUAUGUUAGGCUUGCCGAUGGAAACGUGUGACGCAUACGUUUUGUGAACCUGUUGAUAUUAUAUGUGCUUUUAUAUUAUCAUAUUUUAUUAAAA
rnacentral:lncRNA from 1 species